AACGAACGCUGGCGGCAUGCCUAACACAUGCAAGUCGAACGAGACCUUCGGGUCUAGUGGCGCACGGGUGCGUAACGCGUGGGAACCUGCCUUGAGGUUCGGAAUAACAGUUAGAAAUGACUGCUAAUACCGGAUAAUGUCUUCGGACCAAAGAUUUAUCGCCUUUAGAUGGGCCCGCGUUGGAUUAGCUAGUUGGUGGGGUAAAGGCUCACCAAGGCGACGAUCCAUAGCUGGUCUGAGAGGAUGAUCAGCCACACUGGGACUGAGACACGGCCCAGACUCCUACGGGAGGCAGCAGUGGGGAAUAUUGGACAAUGGGCGAAAGCCUGAUCCAGCAAUGCCGCGUGAGUGAUGAAGGCCUUAGGGUUGUAAAGCUCUUUUACCAGGGAUGAUAAUGACAGUACCUGGAGAAUAAGCUCCGGCUAACUCCGUGCCAGCAGCCGCGGUAAUACGGAGGGAGCUAGCGUUGUUCGGAAUUACUGGGCGUAAAGCGCG
rnacentral:rRNA from 1 species